rnacentral:rRNA from 1 species
GAUUAAGUUAUUAAGGGCGCACGGUGGAUGCCUUGGCACUAGAAGCCGAUGAAGGACGUUACUAACGACGAUAUGCUUUGGGGAGCUGUAAGUAAGCUUUGAUCCAGAGAUUUCCGAAUGGGGAAACCCAGCAUGAGUUAUGUCAUGUUAUCGAUAUGUGAAUACAUAGCAUAUCAGAAGGCACACCCGGAGAACUGAAACAUCUUAGUACCCGGAGGAAGAGAAAGAAAAUUCGAUUCCCUUAGUAGCGGCGAGCGAAACGGGAAGAGCCCAAACCAACAAGCUUGCUUGUUGGGGUUGUAGGACACUCUAUACGGAGUUACAAAGGACGACAUUAGACGAAUCAUCUGGAAAGAUGAAUCAAAGAAGGUAAUAAUCCUGUAGUCGAAAAUGUUGUCUCUCUUGAGUGGAUCCUGAGUACGACGGAGCACGUGAAAUUCCGUCGGAAUCUGGGAGGACCAUCUCCUAAGGCUAAAUACUCUCUAGUGACCGAUAGUGAACCAGUACCGUGAGGGAAAGGUGAAAAGCACCCCGGAAGGGGAGUGAAAUAGAACCUGAAACUGUGUGCUUACAAGUAGUCAGAGCCCGUUAAUGGGUGAUGGCGUGCCUUUUGUAGAAUGAACCGGCGAGUUACGAUUUGAUGCAAGGUUAAGCAGUAAAUGUGGAGCCGUAGCGAAAGCGAGUCUGAAUAGGGCGUUUAGUAUUUGGUCGUAGACCCGAAACCAGGUGAUCUACCCUUGGUCAGGUUGAAGUUCAGGUAACACUGAAUGGAGGACCGAACCGACUUACGUUGAAAAGUGAGCGGAUGAACUGAGGGUAGCGGAGAAAUUUCAAUCGAACCUGGAGAUAGCUGGUUCUCUCCGAAAUAGCUUUAGGGCUAGCCUCAAGUGAUGAUUAUUGGAGGUAGAGCACUGUUUGGACGAGGGGCCCCUCUCGGGUUACCGAAUUCAGACAAACUCCGAAUGCCAAUUAAUUUAACUUGGGAGUCAGAACAUGGGUGAUAAGGUCCGUGUUCGAAAGGGAAACAGCCCAGACCACCAGCUAAGGUCCCAAAAUAUAUGUUAAGUGGAAAAGGAUGUGGCGUUGCCCAGACAACUAGGAUGUUGGCUUAGAAGCAGCCAUCAUUUAAAGAGUGCGUAAUAGCUCACUAGUCGAGUGACACUGCGCCGAAAAUGUACCGGGGCUAAACAUAUUACCGAAGCUGUGGAUUGUCCUUUGGACAAUGGUAGGAGAGCGUUCUAAGGGCGUUGAAGCAUGAUCGUAAGGACAUGUGGAGCGCUUAGAAGUGAGAAUGCCGGUGUGAGUAGCGAAAGACGGGUGAGAAUCCCGUCCACCGAUUGACUAAGGUUUCCAGAGGAAGGCUCGUCCGCUCUGGGUUAGUCGGGUCCUAAGCUGAGGCCGACAGGCGUAGGCGAUGGAUAACAGGUUGAUAUUCCUGUACCACCUAUAAUCGUUUUAAUCGAUGGGGGGACGCAGUAGGAUAGGCGAAGCGUGCGAUUGGAUUGCACGUCUAAGCAGUAAGACUGAGUAUUAGGCAAAUCCGGUACUCGUUAAGGCUGAGCUGUGAUGGGGAGAAGACAUUGUGUCUUCGAGUCGUUGAUUUCACACUGCCGAGAAAAGCCUCUAGAUAGAAAAUAGGUGCCCGUACCGCAAACCGACACAGGUAGUCAAGAUGAGAAUUCUAAGGUGAGCGAGCGAACUCUCGUUAAGGAACUCGGCAAAAUGACCCCGUAACUUCGGGAGAAGGGGUGCUCUUUAGGGUUAACGCCCAGAAGAGCCGCAGUGAAUAGGCCCAAGCGACUGUUUAUCAAAAACACAGGUCUCUGCUAAACCGUAAGGUGAUGUAUAGGGGCUGACGCCUGCCCGGUGCUGGAAGGUUAAGAGGAGUGGUUAGCUUCUGCGAAGCUACGAAUCGAAGCCCCAGUAAACGGCGGCCGUAACUAUAACGGUCCUAAGGUAGCGAAAUUCCUUGUCGGGUAAGUUCCGACCCGCACGAAAGGCGUAACGAUUUGGGCACUGUCUCAACGAGAGACUCGGUGAAAUCAUAGUACCUGUGAAGAUGCAGGUUACCCGCGACAGGACGGAAAGACCCCGUGGAGCUUUACUGUAGCCUGAUAUUGAAAUUCGGCACAGCUUGUACAGGAUAGGUAGGAGCCUUUGAAACGUGAGCGCUAGCUUACGUGGAGGCGCUGGUGGGAUACUACCCUAGCUGUGUUGGCUUUCUAACCCGCACCACUUAUCGUGGUGGGAGACAGUGUCAGGCGGGCAGUUUGACUGGGGCGGUCGCCUCCUAAAAGGUAACGGAGGCGCUCAAAGGUUCCCUCAGAAUGGUUGGAAAUCAUUCAUAGAGUGUAAAGGCAUAAGGGAGCUUGACUGCGAGACCUACAAGUCGAGCAGGGUCGAAAGACGGACUUAGUGAUCCGGUGGUUCCGCAUGGAAGGGCCAUCGCUCAACGGAUAAAAGCUACCCCGGGGAUAACAGGCUUAUCUCCCCCAAGAGUUCACAUCGACGGGGAGGUUUGGCACCUCGAUGUCGGCUCAUCGCAUCCUGGGGCUGUAGUCGGUCCCAAGGGUUGGGCUGUUCGCCCAUUAAAGCGGUACGCGAGCUGGGUUCAGAACGUCGUGAGACAGUUCGGUCCCUAUCCGUCGUGGGCGUAGGAAAUUUGAGAGGAGCUGUCCUUAGUACGAGAGGACCGGGAUGGACAUACCUCUGGUGUACCAGUUGUCGUGCCAACGGCAUAGCUGGGUAGCUAUGUGUGGACGGGAUAAGUGCUGAAAGCAUCUAAGCAUGAAGCCCCCCUCAAGAUGAGAUUUCCCAACUUCGGUUAUAAGAUCCCUCAAAGAUGAUGAGGUUAAUAGGUUCGAGGUGGAAGCAUGGUGACAUGUGGAGCUGACGAAUACUAAUCGAUCGAAGACUUAAUCAA